GAUCAUGCCCUGAGCCGAAGUCAGACGCCCAACUGACCGAGCCACCCAGGAGGCUUUACACCCAGGGCAGAGCCCGAUCGGGCUUCAGCUCACGACCCCGAGAUUAAGACCUGAGCUGAGAUCAAGAAUCAGACACUUAACUGAUUGAGCCACCCAGGAGCCCCCAAAUUUAAAAUUCUUGUAUGAUACUAGAAUUGAGAGCAAAAGACAAAUUGCAGUCUGGGAUUAAAAAAAAAAAAAA